UACGUAGGGGGCGAGCGUUGUCCGGAUUUAUUGGGCGUAAAGAGCGUGUAGGCGGCUAGGUAGGUCCGCUGUGAAAACUCGGGGCUCAACCCCGAGCGGUCGUGAGAAACUGGCAGGCUAGAGUGCGGGAGAGGAGAGUGGAAUUCCUGGUGUAGCGGUGAAAUGCGCAGAUAUCAGGAGGAACACCGGUGGCGAAGGCGGGUCUCUGGGCCGAUACUGACGCUGAGGAGCGAAAGCGUGGGGAGCGAACAGG
rnacentral:rRNA from 1 species